CCUCUCAGGGAAGAGAACACUCAAGGACAGACCUGAAGGAAGUGAGGGAGGGACUAGGCAGACAGCUAGAGAACAGAGUCCCGGAAGUACAAAGGUCCUGAGGUGGAAACCAGCGUGUGUUUGAAGAAGCGUGGGGAGGCCACUGUGGCUGAGGCAGAGUAAACAAAAGGAGAGCAGAGGGAAUGAGGCCAGGGAGAAGAGGAGACGUUUGCCCAGGUGCAAUGAAGGGCGCCCAGGGCCCAGGUCCCAGCCUGUCUCAAGUGGAGAUGAUGAGAAGUGGCAGAAUUCUGGAAGGUGAUUGAAAACCAUUACAAGUUGACGCGAAGGGGAUCAGCUUUGAAGGCAGAGCUGAAUAUGAUUUUACAAAGGGCACAGCGACUCACAAAUCACCUUGCUGAGCAAGUUUCUCAGCCAAAGAGAGAGUUAUCUAAGGCUCUAAUUUUUCCAUAUCCACUUUAUUCAUUCAACAAACCCUGUGUAAGGAAUUCCUGGCUGCUCAGUACUGGCCUGAAUGCACUUGCUUCUCUGUGGACCAAUUCCCCAGAUAUGACUCUUUCAAUUCAAGUAAGGGUUAGAUUUUCUUGUUUAUUCUAAUUGUCAGUGUUUUUACUGCAACUUUUGAGAGUUCUGCAGGAAGUCUCUGACAAAAAUGAAAGCCUUUGGCAAGUGUCUGAGGAAGUAGACAAUAGAGGGAGAUUCCCCUCCCUCAAGGACAUAUUAGUCACUUACAGAGAAAUAAUAUGACCUCCUUCUAAAUAAAAUAUUAAUUUGAAAGGGGAAUCUCCAUUGGAAUCUGGAGAGGUUGUGUAACAUUAAAAGCAAAUGGAAAUAAGAACGCGAAUGGUUCAGAGAAGUAAAGAAAACAGAAGCUCGAAAAUUGCACAUUCCUACAUUUGGGCAUCUAGAAAAGCUUUUGAAAAAUAAUCUAAUACCAGGUACCAACACAUCUGUAGGGAAAGCUAAAUAAGCUGUUUCUAUAAUUUCAAUGUAUCCUUGAGAUUAGUUGUUGUUGUUUCUAGUAUUGGAUAU